UCGACGCUUCUUUUUCCACCGGAGCUUGCUCCACCGGAAAAAGAGGAGUGGCGAACGGGUGAGUAACACGUGGGUAACCUGCCCAUCAGAAGGGGAUAACACUUGGAAACAGGUGCUAAUACCGUAUAACAAUCAUAACCGCAUGGUUUUGAUUUGAAAGGCGCUUUCGGGUGUCCGCUGAUGGAUGGACCCGCGGUGCAUUAGCUAGUUGGUGAGGUAACGGCUCACCAAGGCCACGAUGCAUAGCCGACCUGAGAGGGUGAUCGGCCACAUUGGGACUGAGACACGGCCCAAACUCCUACGGGAGGCAGCAGUAGGGAAUCUUCGGCAAUG
rnacentral:rRNA from 1 species